CAAUACAGUGGUUAGCCCUUCACAGUUUGAAGGUCAUGCUGGCCGAGCUGCUCGGCGCAAACCUUACCACAACAUAUACAUGUCCAAUGGCGUUUCACUACACGAGUUGUCGGUUUCUCUUUCAAAUGGCAGAAAACCUUCAGAAAGGCAGAACGAUGACUUAUGC